UUUCAGAGUUAGAUAUCAGUCAUAAAUUCACUAAAUAUCAUUCUGAUUUCGUUUACAGAAACUAACCACACCAUUGCUCUGCACUGCUGACUUAGAACACCUCAUGACUCACAGUGACAGCAACCAGCGUAUAUACAAGGCCGCGGAGACACAUAGGGUUAGUAUCAAUUUGGAUACAUUCUUCUGCUAUCUCUGGUCCGAUUUAAAAAAAAAUACAUUGACUAAAUCACUUUCAUCGCAGGAACAACAGUCAAUCUGAUGUCCAACCCUUUUGAGCUUUAUACGAAGACAUCGUUUUCAGAAAUACAAAUACUAAUAGUUUGAGACCCUUUACUCC
rnacentral:lncRNA from 1 species